AACGAACGCUGGCGGCAGGCUUAACACAUGCAAGUCGAGCGCGUAGCAAUACGAGCGGCAGACGGGUGAGUAACACGUGGGGAUCUGCCCGAUGGUACGGAAUAACUCAGGGAAACUUGUGCUAAUACCGUAUGUGCCCGCAAGGGGAAAGAUUUAUCGCCAUCGGAUGAACCCGCGUCAGAUUAGCUAGUUGGUGUGGUAAAGGCGCACCAAGGCGACGAUCUGUAGCUGGUCUGAGAGGAUGAUCAGCCACACUGGGACUGAGACACGGCCCAGACUCCUACGGGAGGCAGCAGUGGGGAAUAUUGGACAAUGGGCGCAAGCCUGAUCCAGCCAUGCCGCGUGAGUGAUGAAGGCCUUAGGGUUGUAAAGCUCUUUCGCCGACGAAGAUAAUGACGGUAGUCGGAGAAGAAGCCCCGGCUAACUUCGUGCCAGCCGCCGCGGUAACAC
rnacentral:rRNA from 1 species